rnacentral:rRNA from 1 species
AUACGAAGGGUGCAAGCGUUAAUCGGAAUUACUGGGCGUAAAGCGUGCGUAGGUGGUUGUUCAAGUCUGUCGUGAAAGCCCUGGGCUCAACCUGGGAAUUGCGAUGGAAACUGGACGGCUAGAGUGCGGUAGAGGAUGGCGGAAUUCCCGGUGUAGCGGUGAAAUGCGUAGAGAUCGGGAGGAACAUCCGUGGCGAAGGCGGCCAUCUGGACCAGCACUGACACUGAGGCACGAAAGCGUGGGGAGCAAACAGGAUUAGAUACCCUGGUAGUCCACGCCCUAAACGAUGCGAACUGGAUGUUGGUCUCAACUCGGAGAUCAGUGUCGAAGCUAACGCGUUAAGUUCGCCGCCUGGGGAGUACGGUCGCAAGACUGAA